rnacentral:misc_RNA from 1 species
UAAAAAAGAAUUAAAUAAUAAUUAGGAUAAAAGGGAGUUAUUUAUGGAAGUUUACAUGCGGCAAACUCUUCAAGGAAAUUGUCAUGUGGUAUGCUCUUGAGAAUACCUUCCUGCUUUAUAUAUAUAAAUAGAUUUAUUAACUAUGUCAAAACUUUAUAGGGCCUUUUCUUCAAGUGUGAACAGAUUUUUUCUUCCCCUAAGCAAAGAAAGAGAUGCAACUGUAUGGAAGGAUUUUUUUUCUUCUUCUUUUUUAAAUGCAAACUUGCAUUAAAAGCCCAUAAGAGUAGAGAUACAUCAUGGGUUUAAAAAUAAACAUCGAAAGAGAAAAGAAGAGCCCAUAUUAUGGUUGAUAGCUAGCCUAAUUAAACAAAACCACCCGAAUCAAACCAAAGACUCAAACCAUCAAACCAAUCCCAAAAGAAACCUACCCUAUCCUAGAAACCCUAGGAAAACAGGAUGGGAACACUAAACAUAAUUUGCCAUUAGCCACCAUUCGAACUUGCCACCACUAAAGAAGCUAAAUAUAGAUCAAAGCCAACAUAUCAUCAACAACCAAGGGGCGACCAAGAGCCUAUCCAAGCACAACCACUCUUCCAUAACACACAAACUCCCGACUUUCUCAGUUAAACACGAAACCCAGUUCUACAACUGGCUAGAGGAAGCUGCCACAGAGCUUGCUGCCACUCAAACCAUUAGGAAGGCCUUUCGACCAUAGUGAAGAAGUAGAACCCAAAGAUGCUAAAAUAACUAAAAGCAAGUGAGACCCUUUUGUUGCGUAGAAUCACCCUUAGACCCAAAAGACGAAACAUUAAAAGAGGCUUCCAUACUACGAUCGACCAUCAUCAAAGCCUCUCCAUCCAAAGCCCUCAAACCAUACUUAGCACAGAAGCAUCGCUAUAGAUGCCCUUUCAAUGAAGACCAACCUGCAUGCCAACCAAACAGCACAAACCAACAACUAUAUACGCCCUAACCUAACUAGGGGAGGGCUUUCCCUCAAAGCUAGGCGGGUGACCAAAAAAUGAAGCCCUCCCCUACUAGAAGUAGGAGAAGCUAAAGUAGAAAAUGAUGCUUGAUGACCCAAGAGGACAUAAAAUGAAAAACCCUAAAUGAUAGAAAUUCUCUCUCUCUCAAACUAACUAUGUGGAAGGAUUGUAGCUUCUCUAAUAGGUCUUUGCAUAGCUUAUGGCUUGGCUUUCCACUUGUAAAAUAGCUCCUCGCUUAGCUGGUCACCAACAUAGGCGUCAAUAAGUACUCCGAAAACACUUUGGCAAGUGUUGGCUAACACUCCUCAGUUGCAUCGUCAGGACAGUCAGCUGCAUCGUCAGGACAGUCAACCACCAUAGAGCUCUCUCCUUUGAAAACCUCAAGCUUGCUUGUGGCAAAUGAGUUAUGAGCUUCUACCACAUCCUUGAAGUCUUAUAGACUGGGUGCAGACACAGGAAUAUUGAAAUUGUAAGCUUUUCAUUUGUAAUAAGCUCCUGUCAUAAAUGUAAGCUUUUUGUAUGCAGAGUGUUGAUUUUACAGGAAGUUUCACACAAAUUAAUUUACCUAGUGGGAUUCCUCCAUGCAAUUUUUGUUGUCUCUGUCAUUAAUAUU